rnacentral:rRNA from 1 species
UACGUAGGGUGCGAGCGUUGUCCGGAAUUAUUGGGCGUAAAGAGCUCGUAGGCGGCCUGUCGCGUCGGAUGUGAAAGCCCGGGGCUUAACCCCGGGUCUGCAUUCGAUACGGGCAGGCUAGAGUGUGGUAGGGGAGAUCGGAAUUCCUGGUGUAGCGGUGAAAUGCGCAGAUAUCGGGAAGAACACCCGUGGCGAAGGCGGCACUCUGGGACGGUACUGACGCUGAGACGCGAAAGCGUGGGGAGCGAACAGG